UACGAAGGGUGCAAACGUUGCUCGGAAUCAUUGGGCGUAAAGCGCACGUAGGCGGCUUGCCAAGUCGGACGUGAAAUCCCUCAGCUCAACUGAGGACGUGCAUCCGAAACUGGCGAGCUUGAGUGCUGAAGAGGAUCGCGGAAUUCCCGGUGUAGAGGUGAAAUUCGUAGAUAUCGGGAGGAACACCAGUGGCGAAGGCGGCGAUCUGUGCAGACACUGACGCUGAGGUGCGAAAGCGUGGUGAGCAAACAGG
rnacentral:rRNA from 1 species